GCCUGCCCCGUGACCAAAGGUUCAACGGCCGCGGUAUUUUGACCGUGCAAAGGUAGCGCAAUCACUUGUCUCUUAAAUGGGGACCCGUAUGAAUGGCAUAACGAGGGCUUAGCUGUCUCCUUUUUCAAGUCAAUGAAAUUGAUCUCCCCGUGCAGAAGCGGGGAUAACCACAUAAGACGAGAAGACCCUAUGGAGCUUUAGACACCAAGACAGACCAUGUUAAACACCCCAAGUCAAAGGGCCGAACUAAAUGAAGACCUGUCCUAAUGUCUUCGGUUGGGGCGACCGCGGGGAAACAUAAAACCCCCACGUGGAAGGGGAGCACAACCCUCCUACAACCAAGAGCUUCCGCUCUACUAAACAGAACUUCUGACCUUAAGAUCCGGCAAAGCCGAUCAACGGACCAAGUUACCCUAGGGAUAACAGCGCAAUCCCCUUCUAGAGCCCAUAUCGACAAGGGGGUUUACGACCUCGAUGUUGGAUCAGGACAUCCUAAUGGUGCAGCCGCUAUUAAGGGUUCGUUUGUUCAACGAUUAAAGUCCUACGUGAU
rnacentral:rRNA from 1 species